UCUUUAUAUUGAAAUCUUUUUAGCUAUUAGACGCUAUAAAUAUAAAGAAUAGUAAUAUUUAGUUGGGGUGACAUGAAGUCGUAAACACUUCCUUUUAAACAAUAAUAGUAGGAUAAAUGACCCGGAUUAACCGAUUCAAAAAUUAAGU
rnacentral:rRNA from 1 species